GUUGAAGGAUUUGGAAAAUUCCGCUAAAGAGGGUGAAAGCCCCGUAGACGAAAUGCUGACAACACCUAGGAGGAUCCUGAGUACGGCGGAACACGAGAAAUUCCGUCGGAAUCCGCGGGGACCAUCCCGCAAGGCUAAAUACUCCCUAGUGACCGAUAGUGAACCAGUACCGUGAGGGAAAGGUGAAAAGCACCCCGGAAGGGGAGUGAAAUAGAUCCUGAAACCGUGUGCCUACAACAAGUCAAAGCUCGUUAAUGAGUGAUGGCGUGCCUUUUGUAGAAUGAACCGGCGAGUUACGAUUGCAUGCGAGGUUAAGUCGAAGAGACGGAGCCGCAGCGAAAGCGAGUCUGAAUAGGGCGAAUGAGUAUGUAGUCGUAGACCCGAAACCAUGUGAUCUACCCAUGUCCAGGUUGAAGGUGCGGUAAAACGCACUGGAGGACCGAACCCACGUACGUUGAAAAGUGCGGGGAUGAGGUGUGGGUAGCGGAGAAAUUCCAAACGAACUUGGAGAUAGCUGGUUCUCUCCGAAAUAGCUUUAGGGCUAGCCUCGGAAUUGAGAAUGAUGGAGGUAGAGCACUGUUUGGACUAGGGGCCCAUCUCGGGUUACCGAAUUCAGAUAAACUCCGAAUGCCAUUCAUUUAUAUCCGGGAGUCAGACUGCGAGUGAUAAGAUCCGUAGUCGAAAGGGAAACAGCCCAGACCACCAGCUAAGGUCCCAAAAUAUAUGUUAAGUGGAAAAGGAUGUGGGGUUGCACAGACAACUAGGAUGUUGGCUUAGAAGCAGCCACCAUUUAAAGAGUGCGUAAUAGCUCACUAGUCGAGUGACCCUGCGCCGAAAAUGUACCGGGGCUAAACAUAUUACCGAAGCUGUGGACUACACCAUUAGGUGUAGUGGUAGGAGAGCGUUCUAAGGGCGU
rnacentral:rRNA from 1 species